UGAGCAUGUGUUGCAAAAAUAGAAAAAAAUGAUGCUGGACCAUCAGAUGAGAAAUCGAUGGCACAGGUCCGGACGGAGUGAUCUCUGCACAAAAUUUGCAAAAGGGUCCGAUUUGGUUUCGAUGCCCUCCCGAUUCAAUCCCAAAUCCCGUACGCAGCGGUGUCUCGCAGGACGAAAAAUCGUCCUCGUCGGCGGCGGCGGCGGCCCAGAUCCUGAGCCAAGCUAGGCUCCUGGAUCAGCUCAUGGACGUGCUCCCUCCCCCCCUUGCGACCCAGCACUAGCUCGACGGUGGUGGACUCCUCGCCUCCUUCCCGACCGGCCGCUUUUAGGUGCUACGAACACUCCACCAAGGUGGUUUGUUCUUCAGUAGGAAAGGGAAAUGUCACUCACUCUGGCUCUGCGGAGCGGCUCGAUGUCCCACGAGACGUAGACCCCCAUGCCGCCAGGGCCCUCGAGGAACUCGACCCCGUCUGCGAUCAUCAUCCAAGCGUACCUGACCCGGUAGAAGUCAAGGUCCAACAAUGUGUGAAUGCCAAGGUCCAAGGAUUAUGUAAUACUGAGAAAGGGGCAAGUUGUAACAUGCUCAUGUCUGUCCUAUAUUAGUAGAGAUUGAAUUGUGCUGCACUAUUGCAAUCUGUGCUCCUUUGGUGAUGGAUAUAUCGGUUCAUGUACAUUGUUAUUUGUAUA